rnacentral:rRNA from 1 species
UACGAAGGGGGCUAGCGUUGCUCGGAAUCACUGGGCGUAAAGCGCACGUAGGCGGCUUUCUAAGUCAGGGGUGAAAUCCUGGAGCUCAACUCCAGAACUGCCUUUUGAUACUGGAGAGCUUGAGUCCGGAAGAGGUGAGUGGAACUCCGAGUGUAGAGGUGAAAUUCGUAGAUAUUCGGAAGAACACCAGUGGCGAAGGCGGCUCACUGGUCCGGUACUGACGCUGAGGUGCGAAAGCGUGGGGAGCAAACAGGG